rnacentral:tRNA from 1 species
GGCUUUAUAUUCAACAAUGAUAUUAGACUGCAAUUCUAAAGGAGGAAUUUAAAAUUUCUAAAGCUU